UUUUUUCUAUAUUAUUUAUUAAAUUAUAAAAAUUAGAUAUCAAUUUUAAAUUUAAAGGCAUAGGUUAAAGAUAUAAUCCCUAAAAUUGGACAGAGUUCCUUUCCCUUUCCCUUGCCCUUUCCCUUCAACCAAACUUAACGUAAUAAACUUGAACCUUUACCUCUGACUUUAAAAAUUGAAGCAGUAGCAUUAGGCUAUAGUGCCUUUGGUUUCGUUCACAAACAACCCUGUUCUCAUUUCCACUUUCACCAUCAGAACACAAUGCGAUAAAACCCAUUAUUUCUCACCUCUCUGUGUCCGCGUGUUUUCUUUUGUAUGCAUAUUUAGAGGUUCAAAAAUUUACUGGAUAUUGAUAGGAAUGGGUUUUCUUGGAAGUAGUCUUUCAUUGAAGAGGGAUCAUCAUCCAAUUCACUUUCUUCAUCAGCAACAAACAGGAAUGGGUGGGUUUGAUUUUGGGGAGGAUAUAAACUCUGGCUUUUGCUGUUAUCACAUGGAGUGACGAGUAUCAUGUUGAGUGGGCUUAUUUGUUUCUUGGGUGUUUGUGCAUCUUCUGGUUGAUCCACAGCAGAUAAUGACGGUUACUGUUGCAGCUGCAUUGCGGGAGAUUGGUUACAUAUAUAGUUGUGGUAAUCAUAAUUCUCAGUUUUUAUUUUUAUUAUAUAUAUAUAUAUAUAUAGUUCAAAUUUUAGAUGUUGAGGGAGUCUAAUUGAAUUACCUUCGAGUUUUCAGUCAAGAAUCAAGAUUGCUGCCAGCGUCCUCUCAUAGUGUAAUGCUGGUCUCGGCUGACACGUGUCAUAGUCCAUUAAUCUGGAAAUCUUCUGCUUAAUUCAUUAAUCAUAAACAUGUGUCUUUGUUCAUCAAUAAUGCUUUUUAUUUGAGAAUACUCACCCAAUCCACAAAGUUAAAAUUUGGAGAUUAAGGUAUCUUACUCAUACAAAUGAUUUAAAUGGGAAGUGGGUUUUCAAUAUGGUCCUGUGCAUGCUGUUUGGAGAAACACUGGAGUUCCGGUUGACAUCAUGGAAACUGGUGGGAAGAUGAAGAUCAUUGUAGAUUUACUAAAGUAUGAUUGUCAUAUUCAAUUUCUCAUAUAUUUGAACUUCUACACUUAUUUUAAUCACUAAAAAGUUUGAAAUGGUAACAAACUUAGGAUCUUCCUUUCCUUCUACCAUUAAUUUAACAAGAGUCUGUUCAGUUCUUUUGCUGUUAUAAUGGGUAUCCUUGGUCCUCGCAUCAUUUUAUUUUUCAGUUACCUCAUUGCUUGGGGGGUGGGGGGGGGGACCCUCAUUUUCUCCUGUUGUAUGUCCAUCAGCAUUCAGCAUCAAUCAACUAGUCUCAUGUAACUUUGCAAUAAAAAUAAUUCAAACGCUUUUGAAUAUCUCAUCAGUGCUAGUUUAUAGUUGACACGAUAUCAUUUUUGGUCUAUCUUCUGUUGUAACACAAUCUACAAAUGUAUUGCUAAAUUAUUAGCCAACAAGCUCAAAUUGGCUCUACCUUCUUUGAUCGAUCCUUGCAAGAAUGCCUUUGGCAAAGGUAGGAAUAUUGGAGAUAGUGUUUUGCUUGCUCAAGAGCUCUUACAGGGGUAUCACAAGCACCUAAGACCACCUAGGUGUGCUAUUAAGGUUGAUUUGAUGAAGGCUUUUGAUUCUGUGGGCUGGGAUUUCAUGUUGGAUGCUCUUCUACUUUUUGGUUUCCCUUCUUCAUUCAUUGGAUGGGUCAAAGCUUGUAUUACUACUCUAGCAUUUACAGUUUCACUCCAUGGGGAAUUCAAUGGUCAUUUUAAAGGAGUUAAAGGUCUAAGGCAAGGGGAUCCAUUAUUUCUGCUUCUUUUUGUCCUAGCAAUGGAGGUGCUGUCAUCAAUCAUUAACGGAUUCAUUGCCAAAAGACCCUCAUUCAAGUAUCACUCUAGAUGCAAGAAGCUUUCUAUCUCUCACUUGAUUUUCGCAGAUGAUCUUCUACUUUUUUUGUCACGGGGAUAUCCUAUCAGUUUCUACUCUCAAGCAGGCACUGGACCACUUCACUACCAUCUCUAGUCUGUGUAUAAAUAGCUCAAAAAGUGUGUUUUUCACUUCAGGGAUUGACAUUAAUUUGACUAAUGAUAUCAAGACCCUACUUGGGUUUGAGUGUGGUGAGCUGCCUAUUAAGUACCUUGGUGUUCCCCUAAUCUUCUCUAGGCUCAAAGCAGCUAAUUGUAGAGGGCUAGUGGAGAAGAUCACUCGUAGAGUGGCUCAUUGGUCAUCCAGUUUUCUUUCUUAUGCGGGAAGGAUUCAACUUAUUAAUUCAAUCGGUUUUGUAUAGUAUGUCUAACUACUUGUCCUCCCUAUUCAUCCUACCUAUGUUAGUCAUCACGGAGGUUAACAGUAUCUUGAGGAAUUUCCUAUGGUCAGGUACAGAGUACAAACACACGGGCAAAGAUCACCUGGUGGUCGGUGUGUCAGCCUAAAGAGUGUGGUGGUUGGGAUUUAAGAAUUUGGCCUUAGCUAAUUUGGCUUCUAAUCUACAACACUUAUGGUCUAUUGCCUCUAACCAAAGGGACAGCUUAUGGGCUAGAUGGGUGAAUGUUUAACUCAUUAGAGAUAGAUGUUUAUGGACAAUUAACACUCCUCAGGUCUGCUCUGCCAAUUGGAAGAGGAUCGUACAGCCAAAGGGAGUUGCUAGGUCAAUGAUGAAGAGAAAGGUUGGUUCGGGAUGUCACACAUUUUUUUAGGGGGACAAUUGGAUUGGUGGAGUCCUUCUCUCUCACAGAUGCACUACGGAGGCAAUCCAGAAUUUUGGCAUUCUUCCCAAUCAAAAACUAUCAUCACUUGUGAUCAACAAUAAGUGGAGCUUCCCACCUGAGGUAAUUGAUGAUUUCCCAGAGCUCAUUAUGGUUUAUCCUCCCGCUGAAGCCCAUGAUUCUUCCAUUUGGAUCCUCUCCCCUAAUGGCACAUUCUCUGCAUCCCACACAAUGUUUUGGCUAGCACCUCACCAUCAGCAAAAAACAUGUCACCACUUGGUCUGUAGUUUAUUCUCAGUUCCAAGAUGUAAGUUCACUCUUUAGCUGGCUGUGCAGAAUUGACUUUCCAUUCUUGACCGUAGGUGUAUGAGAUCUGCUCCUGGCUCCAAAAUUUGCCUGCUCUGCCAGAGAGAAGACGAAUCACACAACCAUCUGUUUUUUUAUUGUGAUUUCACUAAACCAAUUUGGAUUUCCAUUCAAGACAGAUGCCAAGUCCAUAUUCCCCCCUUAACAUGGAAUCAAUUGGUUAUUCACGCCUCAGAUUGAUGAAAAAAUCAAAGCAUCUUCACCAAGGUAUGUAAGCUCGCACUCUCCACCACCGUGAACAGAUUGUGGACAAAGCGCAACAGCAGGAAACAUAAGAAUCAGAGGCGUUCGCAGAUGGAAAUUCUAAAACAAAUCAUGGACAUGGUUAGACAAAGGUUACUUACAAGAAAG